rnacentral:rRNA from 1 species
GACGAACGCUGGCGGCGGGCUUAAAACAUGCAAGUCGAACGAUGAAGGGACUUCGGUCCUGGAUUAGUGGCGAACGGGUGCGUAACACGUGAGAAAUCUGCCUCAAAGAUCGGGAUAGCAGCUGGAAACGGCUAUUAAUACCGAAUAUCUUUUUUUCACCGCAUGGUGGGAUUAAGAAAUGAAUUUCGCUUUGAGAUGAUCUCGCGGUCUAUCAGCUUGUUGGUGAGGUAACAGCUCACCAAGGCUACGACGGAUAGCUGGUCUGAGAGGACGACCAGCCACACUGGGACUGAGACACGGCCCAGACUCCUACGGGAGGCAGCAGUUAGGAAUCUUGCGCAAUGGACGAAAGUCUGACGCAGCCACGCCGCGUGAAGGAUGAAGGUUCUCGGAUCGUAAACUUCUUUGAAUGGGAACGAAAAUGACGGUACCCAUAAAACAAGGACCGGCCAACUAUGUGCCAGCAGCCGCGGUGAUACAUAGGGUCCAAGCGUUGUCCGGAUUUAUUGGGCGUAAAGAGCUCGUAGGCGGUUCAGUAAGUCAACGGUGAAAACUCCAGGCUCAACUUGGAGACGCCCGCUGAUACUGCUGUGACUUGAAUUUGGUAGGGGAUCACGGAAUUCCUGGUGUAGCGGUGAAAUGCGCAGAUAUCAGGAGGAACACCGGUGGCGAAGGCGGUGAUCUGGGCCAAUAUUGACGCUGAGGAGCGAAAGCGUGGGGAGCAAACAGGAUUAGAUACCCUGGUAGUCCACGCCGUAAACGGUGGGCACUAGGUGUGGGCGAUUUUCAACGUCGUCCGUGCCGCAGCUAACGCAUUAAGUGCCCCGCCUGGGGAGUACGGCCGCAAGGCUAAAACUCAAAGGAAUUGACGGGGGCCCGUACAAGCAGCGGAGCAUGUGGCUUAAUUCGAAGCAACGCGAAGAACCUUACCUAGGCUUGACAUGUACGGAAAAGCUGCAGAGAUAUAGUGUCCUUCGGGGCCGUACACAGGUGGUGCAUGGUUGUCGUCAGCUCGUGUCGUGAGAUGUUGGGUUAAGUCCCGCAACGAGCGCAACCCUCGUCCUAUGUUGCCAGCGCGUAAUGGCGGGAACUCGUAGGAGACUGCCGGGGACAACUCGGAGGAAGGUGGGGAUGAUGUCAAAUCAUCAUGCCCCUUACGUCUAGGGCUGCACACAUGCUACAAUGGCUGGUACAAAGGGCUGCGAACCUGCGAGGGUGAGCCAAUCCCAAAAAGCCAGUCUCAGUUCGGAUUGGAGUCUGCAACUCGACUCCAUGAAGUCGGAGUUGCUAGUAAUCCCAGAUCAGCAUUGCUGGGGUGAAUACGUUCCCGGGCCUUGUACACACCGCCCGUCACACCACGGGAGUUGGUUUGACCUGAAGACGGUGCGCUAACCCGCAAGGGAGGCAGCCGGCCACGGUCAGGUCAGCGACUGGGGUG